AUUGAACGCUGGCGGCAGGCUUAACACAUGCAAGUCGAGCGAGCGGCGGACGGGUGAGUAAUGUCUGGGAAACUGCCUGAUGGAGGGGGAUAACUACUGGAAACGGUAGCUAAUACCGCAUACCAUCAGAUGUGCCCAGAUGGGAUUAGCUAGUAGGUGGGGUAAUGGCUCACCUAGGCGACGAUCCCUAGCUGGUCUGAGAGGAUGACCAGCCACACUGGAACGGAGAGACGGUCAAGAGUCCUAGGGUAGGAAGCAGUGGGGCAUAGGGCAAAAUGGGAGAAAGGGUGAUGGAGCGAUGCCGCGUGUGGGAGUAAGGCCUUCGGGUUUUAAAGCACUUACAGCGAGGAGGCGUUACUCGCAGAAGAAGCACCGGCUAACUCCGUGCCAGCAGCCGCGGUAAUAC
rnacentral:rRNA from 1 species